AUUGAACGCUGGCGGCAGGCCUAACACAUGCAAGUCGAGCGAGCGGCGGACGGGUGAGUAAUGCCUGGGAAUUGCCCAGUCGAGGGGGAUAACAGUUGGAAACGACUGCUAAUACCGCAUACGAUUGGAUUGCUCAGGGGGGAUUAGCUAGUUGGUGAGUGAAUGGCUCACCAAGGCGACGAUCCCUAGAUGGUCUGAGAGGCUGAUCAUCAACACGGGAACUGAGACGCGGUCCAGCCUCCUACGUGAGGCAGCGGUGGGGAAUAUUGCACAAUGGGGGAAACCCUGAUGCAGCAAUGCCGCGUGUGUGAAGAAGGCCUUCGGGUUGUAAAGCACUUUCAUCGAGGAGGCGUUACUCGCAGAAGAAGCACCGGCUAACUCCGUGCCAGCAGCCGCGGUAAUUC
rnacentral:rRNA from 1 species